rnacentral:lncRNA from 1 species
CGGCGGCGUUCCCUCGCUCCGCCCGCGGCUCGGGGGGGCCGGCAGGUCCCGGCAGCUGGAGCGAGACAGAAACGAAGGGGAGAACGCAUGAGUGAGGGGAGGAGGAACGGGACGAAGCGCGACCUCAGCAGGGCAGCCGCCGGCGGAAGUAACUUUCAUGAACUGAUCGGAUGUUUGCAACCAGCAUAAAACAAAGCAUCACUGAGAACACUGAGAUUUUCGUCCAAGCGCUUGGAACUUUGUCCAUGUCAGCCUGGGGCCGAAUCAAGCCUCUGAAAUUCAGAAAUACUGACAUAACCUCGAUUUGGAGUGCUGAGUUUAGGAGUGACGUGGCAAAGAACAAAACCUCUAAAUGCUCUGUAAGCUGAAGUCUAAAUGCUUUGUACUGAAAUGAAUAAAUUGCUUCUUGAAAGCAAUGUGUUACUCACUGAGAAAGAUAUACCUACUGAAUGAAACAGCACCAGUGCAGCUGAGCAGGUGAAAUAUCAUCAGCCUCUGUGAUACAUUGCUUUCUCAACUCUAUUUAUCUUCUGUUUGCUCUCCUGUAUUAUUUCUUGGAUGGGAUUCAUCACCCGCUGAAAUACGUGUAUUAAAUAAGCCAUGCUUCUGCAUAAAACUGAAGAUCCUACUGACUAAAU